rnacentral:rRNA from 1 species
ACGAACGCUGGCGGCAUGCCUAACACAUGCAAGUCGAACGAGACCUUCGGGUCUAGUGGCGCACGGGUGCGUAACGCGUGGGAACCUGCCCUUAGGUUCGGAAUAACUCCCCGAAAGGGGUGCUAAUACCGGAUAAUGUCUUCGGACCAAAGAUUUAUCGCCUUUGGAUGGGCCCGCGUUGGAUUAGCUAGUUGGUAGGGUAAAAGCCUACCAAGGCGACGAUCCAUAGCUGGUCUGAGAGGAGGAUCAGCCACACUGGGACUGAGACACGGCCCAGACUCCUACGGGAGGCAGCAGUGGGGAAUAUAGGACAAGGGGCGAAAGCCUGAUCCAGCAAUGCCGCGUGAGUGAUGAAGGCCUUAGGGUUGUAAAGCUCCUUUACCCGGGAUGAUAAUGACAGUACCGGGAGAAUAAGCUCCGGCUAACUCCGUG